rnacentral:rRNA from 1 species
GACAGAGGGUGCAAACGUUGUUCGGAAUUACUGGGCGUAAAGCGCGUGUAGGCUGCUCUGCAAGUCGGAUGUGAAAGCCCUGGGCUCAACCUAGGAAGUGCAUUCGAAACUGCAGAGCUGGAGUCCUGGAGAGGAAGGCGGAAUUCUCGGUGUAGAGGUGAAAUUCGUAGAUAUCGAGAGGAACACCGGUGGCGAAGGCGGCAUCCUGGACUGGUCCUGACACUCAUGAGCGAAAGCGUGGGGGAGCGAUCCGG